GUUGUAAAACGGCGUUAAACCCAAAACAAACAAACAAAUAAUCAUUAAUCAUGCAUGCAUUGAAUGCAAACACGUACUUAAUAGGAACGAUAGUAUAACAACUGUGUCCAGCGGAUAGUGUAGACAUAGUUUAGGAGUAAACGUAUUCUUAACUAGACAAUGGAAACCGAAGAAAUUCAAAGUUUUUUUUCCUGCAAAACCGCGCUCGUAUUUACGAUUUUAGGAAUAAUUUGGUAUUUUCGUGAAAAAAUAGUGUACAAUAGCUAUAGGCUAUACUUUGCGUGGAUCUUUAAUAAAAUCUGCGAAAGUAUUAAAGAAGGAUUAAAAGACGAGAAGACCCGGCUGUUUCAGUUUCUACAUGAUUAUAAAAAUCAACAGAAGAAAAAUCUGACGAUACUUGAAGUUUGAUCUGGCACAGCUCCUAAUUUGUCCUUCUACCCGGCAAAUUCUAAGGUGAUUUGCCUAGAUCCAAAUCAACACUUUGAUAGUUACGCAACUGAAAACAUCAAAAAGGAAGAAAAUUCGAUCUCCGUAGAUUUAGUACAUGGAUAUGCAGAAGCUUUGCCAUUCGAAAAUGAAAUAUUUGACAUUGUAGUGUGCACUUUCGUUUUGUGUUCUGUUAAAGAUAUGAAGAAGUGUCUGCAAGAAAUCAAACGAGUUCUGCGACAGGGCGGGAAGUACGUAUUCUUGGAGCAUGUGGCAUACGAGGACAAGAAGUCUUGGGCGUGGACGUUUCAGUGUGUAAUGAAUCCAGUACAGCAGAUGUUCUUCGAUGGCUGCGAGACAAUACGCGACACAGAAACCUACAUUAUGGCUACUGGAUUCUCAGAUGUCAAUGUAAACCGGUUUCCACACAAGCCGUUUCCGAUCUGGUUCAGACCAUGCAUUAGUGGACUUGCUACAAAAUAAAUGAAAAGGAAUGACUGAAACUUACUUUUGUAAUGUAUACAUUGUGAAAUUAGAAUUUAAACUUUUGGACCCGUUUGCUUUUCUCUGCAUAUUUUCUUUUUUCUCAACGUAUUUUAUGUGUACCCAAAUGGUGAUGGAAGAAAUUCAAGUGUAAUUCUCGUGUUAUUUCAUUAUGUGACUGUCAGUGGUUUAGUUGUGUUUUCUGAUUUCAGCUAGAACUCAGAACAAGUUAAUCUAGUGUAAUGUUUUGAUGUAUACGUAUUCCACUUUGACCAGUGCACUUUACACGAUGAAGCCAUUCGAAUGAACGUUCACUGACAUGAUUUUGUUUACAAGAGUAUUUAUACGGAUAAGAUAGAACUAACUUU